ACGCGAAGAACCUUACCCAGGCUUGAACAGCGAGUGACCACUCCUGAAAGGGAGCUUCCGCAAGGACACUCGUAGAGGUGCUGCAUGGCUGUCGUCAGCUCGUGUCGUGAGAUGUUGGGUUAAGUCCCGCAACGAGCGCAACCCUUGUCUUCUGUUGCCAUCAGGUUAUGCUGGGCACUCUGGAGAGACUGCCGGUGAUAAACCGGAGGAAGGUGGGGAUGACGUCAAGUCAGCAUGGCCUUUAUGUCUGGGGCUACACACGUGCUACAAUGGCCGGCACAAACCGUCGCGAGCCCGCAAGGGGGAGCUAAUCGGAGAAAGUCGGUCUCAGUUCGGAUCGUCGGCUGCAACUCGCCGGCGUGAAGUUGGAAUCGCUAGUAAUCGCGGAUCAGCACGCCGCGGUGAAUACGUUCCCGGGCCUUGUA
rnacentral:rRNA from 1 species